AGUAAAUUUUGUGGUCAAGCUACUAAGGGCGCAUGGUGGAUGCCUUGGCAGAAGGAGGCGAUGAAGGACGUGGCAAGCUGCGAUAAGCCUCGGGGAGCCGCAAGCAGGCUUUGAUCCGGGGAUUUCCGAAUGGGGAAACCCUAUACGGUAAAACCGUAUAACGGCUCGACGAAUACAUAGUCGAGCACGAGCGAACCCAGGGAAGUGAACCAUCUCAGUGCCUGGAGGAAAAGAAAGAAAUUCGAUUCCGAAAGUAGUGGCGAGCGAAAUCGGAACAGCCCAAACCCAGUGAACCUUCGGGUUCAGUGGGGGUUGUAGGGCCCGCAACAGUAGAGUUACCAAUCCAGUCAUUAGUCGAAGCCCUCUGGAAAGAGGCGCCAUAGAGCGUGAUAGCCGCGUAGGCGAAAAUGAUCUGGACUCGAAGCGGGCACCUGAGUACCGCGGGGCACGUGAAACCCUGUGGGAAUCUGCGGAGACCAUUCCGUAAGGCUAAAUACUACCUUCUGACCGAUAGUGAACCAGUACCGUGAGGGAAAGGUGAAAAGAACCCCUGCGAGGGGAGUGAAAUAGUACCUGAAACCGUGUGCCUACAAGCAGUGGGAGGGCUAUGCCCGUAAGGGAAUGCCUGACCGCGUGCCUAUUGCAUAAUGAGCCGG
rnacentral:rRNA from 1 species